rnacentral:rRNA from 1 species
CGUGGGUAACCUGCCCAAGAGAUCGGGAUAACACCUGGAAACAGAUGCUAAUACCGGAUAACAACAGAUGAUGCCUAUCAACUGUUUAAAAGAUGGUUCUGCUAUCACUCUUGGAUGGACCUGCGGUGCAUUAGCUAGUUGGUAGGGUAACGGCCUACCAAGGCGAUGAUGCAUAGCCGAGUUGGGAUACUGAUCGGCCACAUUGGGACUGAGACACGGCCCAAACUCCUACGGGAGGCAGCAGCG